UACGGAGGGUGCAAGCGUUAAUCGGAAUUACUGGGCGUAAAGCGUGCGUAGGUGGUUGAUUAAGUUAUCUGUGAAAUCCCUGGGCUUAACCUGGGCAGGUCAGAUGAUACUGAUUGACUCGAGUAUGGGAGAGGGUAGUGGAAUUUCCGGUGUAGCGGUGAAAUGCGUAGAGAUCGGAAGGAACACCAGUGGCGAAGGCGGCUACCUGGCCUAAUACUGACACUGAGGCACGAAAGCGUGGGGAGCAAACAGGAUUAGAUACCCUGGUAGUCCACGCCGUAAACGAUGUCAACUAGCUGUUGGAUAUAUGAAUAUAUUUAGUGGCGCAGCAAACGCGAUAAGUUGACCGCCUGGGGAGUACGGUCGCAAGAUUAAA
rnacentral:rRNA from 1 species